UACAGACGACGGAUUACGACUCCCUCGGCUGAGUCGACGUCUCCUCCGUAUCUUCAUUUGUUAUCGUUACCUUCGCGAAGGUCUUUUCGUUAAAGCUUCGAAAAGCGACGAUGGGUUUUGUUCAGCUCCUUCGAUCACUGAAUCAGACGAGAAGCCAAAACCCAUUUACUGGAAAAGUCACGAAUCCAACACUCUCUCCUUCACACCUCCGAGGUCAUUUAUCAGAUUAAGCUACCAGGACCUGCAAUACUAGGAGAGGUAAUUUCAAUUGUUCAAUUUGUAUUUGUCAUCGUGGGUUAUGAUUGUUUAGUUGGUAAUCUGAUUCAUUAUCUUUGACACACUGAUACGUCCUUGAAUGUGGUCUAGUUCUGUUGCCUGUUAACAAGAGAGGACUGUUACAUUCCCCAAAACCUGAUCUCUGUCAGAAAGUAUCAAGCUUUGAGCUUGAUGAUUCUCUAGUUCAUUGUGUUCUUCCAAUAUUUGAGGUAGAAGAUGGAGCAGUUCAAAGAGAGGAAGUUCGCAGAGAAUGUGGUAAAGGUCAAGAUGAGUGUAAAGUCAUCAGUCAUCAGUCACGGACUUGUGUAGUAAUCACUUGUGCAAUGCUUACGUACUAACUCUUGUAAUCUUGUAUUCUUGCAAACUCUUGUAGUCAUCAGUCACGAGUUGUAAAGCUUUGUGUCUAUAUAAACUUGUGAACUCUUGUAGUCUUGUGAACUCUUGUAGUCUUGUCUAUAUAAACUUUGUAUACCAAACUUUUAUUCACAACACAACACUCUUCUUCAUUCA